rnacentral:rRNA from 1 species
AGCGAACGCUGGCGGCAGGCUUAACACAUGCAAGUCGAGCGGGCACUUUCGGGUGUCAGCGGCGGACGGGUGAGUAACGCGUGGGAACGUGCCCUCUGGUUCGGAAUAACUCAGGGAAACUUGAGCUAAUACCGGAUACGCCCUUUUGGGGAAAGGCUUGCUGCCGGAGGAUCGGCCCGCGUCUGAUUAGCUAGUUGGUGAGGUAACGGCUCACCAAGGCGACGAUCAGUAGCUGGUCUGAGAGGAUGAUCAGCCACACUGGGACUGAGACACGGCCCAGACUCCUACGGGAGGCAGCAGUGGGGAAUAUUGGACAAUGGGCGCAAGCCUGAUCCAGCCAUGCCGCGUGAGUGAUGAGGGCCUUAGGGUUGUAAAGCUCUUUUAUCCGGGACGAUAAUGACGGUACCGGAGGAAUAAGCCCCGGCUAACUUCGUG